rnacentral:piRNA from 1 species
UCUUGUUGAUUUGAUACGUGC